UACGGAAGGGGCAAGCGUUGUUCGGAAUCAUUGGGCGUAAAGGGCGCGCAGGUGGCUCUGUAUGUCUGCCGUGAAAGCAUACAGCUCAACUGUAUUGUGUUGGUAGAAACUGCAGGACUUGAGGCUGGGAGGGGCUGGUGGAAUUCCCUGUGUAGCGGUGAAAUGCGUAGAGAUGGGGGAGAACACUCGUGGCGAAGGCGGCCAGCUAGACCAGUUCUGACACUGAGGCGCGACAGCGUGGGGAGCAAACAGG
rnacentral:rRNA from 1 species